CCUACGAGCGGCAGCAGUGAGGAAUAUUGGUCAAUGGUCGGGAGACUGAACCAGCCAAGCCGCGUGAGGGAGGAAGGUACAGAGUAUCGUAAACCUCUUUUGUCAGGGAACAAAGACUGGGACGCGUCCCCGGAUGAGUGUACCUGAAGAACAAGCAUCGGCUAACUCCGUGCCAGCAGCCGCGUUAAUACGGAGGAUGCGAGCGUUAUCCGGAUUUAUUGGGUUUAAACGGUGCGCAGGCGGUCUGUUAUGUCACCGGUCAAAGCCCGGGGCUCACCCCCGGCCCGCCGUUGAAACUGGCAGUCUCGAGUUGGAGAGAAGUAUGCAGAAUGCGAGGUGUAGCGGUGAAAUGCAUAGAUAUCGCGCAGAACUCCGAUUGCGAAGGCAGCAUGCCGGCUCCACACUGACGCUGAGGCACGAAAGCGUGGGUAUCGAACAGGAUUAGAUACCCUUGUAGUC
rnacentral:rRNA from 1 species